GAGCUAAUAAAAUUGAGAAUGUGUUCCUCUACCAACUGAAAAUGUGUUUCUCUCUACCAUGGUUUUAAAAUGUAAGGACCGUUAUUUAAAGGUUUUUUUGACUUACCAUUGCUGUUACCAACAUUAUUUAAUGGAUUUUUAAUUUGUAACUAUAAAGGGCAUUAUGGCUGUUAUUUAAAGGUAACGGUUGUUACUGACCAUUAAGUAAAGGUCAUAGCAGCCAUUAUUUUUCCAACUAAGAAUUCUUUACCUUUUUUAUUUUUUAUUUUUUACCUCUUUCAUGAGAAAUGCAAUAAAGGGAACCAUUUUUUUGGGUAAAAAAACUAUCUUGGCUCAUUCAU
rnacentral:misc_RNA from 1 species